GACAAGUCUUUUGAUGUCGCAAGAGUUGUGAUCUUUAUAAUAUUUAACUGUAGCAUCAGUAAUUGGCACUAAGUUGCCAAGUUACCAUCCUUCCUAGAAUCUUCUCCAUUUUGUUUCUCUCCAGCAAAAGAUUCAAUGUUUGCUUUCUACUUUGCUUAGAUUUGAUCCUUUAAACUUUAGCAAAGGGAUUGCUAAUAUAGCAGUUUGUGUGUGUAUAACAGUGACAUUCUGGAUGAUUCUCUAUAGAGACAACAUCUUUUAUAAAUAUUGAUAUAAAGCUUCCAAAGUAUUUUCACGAUCAGACAAACUUAACCAAGUUGAGCAUCUGUUUGGGUGUUGAGGAAAAAAACAACAGUGAAGCAAAAGUAAAUGGAAGCACAAUCAAUUGUGAAGGUGCUUGCAUUUUUCUUUUUUUUUUCAUGUUAGUAGCUGAACAUGAUUAAGGAGGGGUUACGUAUGAUUCUUUGUAUCAGAUGAUUGCUGUGGCUGAUAUUGAUUUUUCCUUAAUUGAUUCAGAGAGGGAAAAGAUGCCAAUUGCCAAGG